GUCGUCUGUUUGCUGCUGCAGCUCAUCUCAUCUCGUCUCAUCUCAUCUCAUCUCAGAAUCCAAACAGCUACAAUGCUCGUGGGUUUAUUCCUGUACAUAGGACUGGUUGGUGGCCCUGCUGUGAUGACCACUGGAGGAGCGGCCACAGGUGUGGCUGUAGCGACUGCCACUGGAGCUACAGUUGCCGCGACUGUCGCACAAGCGAUAACAACUGUGGCUGCCAUCGUGUUAUGAAUAAAUCAUGGCUCCUUUUGUCGAAACUGACAAUCCUGUUGCACAAUGUCUUAGAAAUCUGCAAUGACAUCUCAGUGUUUCAGUGUGA